rnacentral:snRNA from 1 species
CAGCCAUGCAGUGAGCACAUAGCGAACUAUUCUUUCGCCUUUUACUAAAGAAUACCGUGUGUUCGCUGCUCAAAGUGGCAUACCCCUAUUUUUUGAGAGUCCCUUCUUUUACUGAAAGGC